rnacentral:rRNA from 1 species
CCUACGGGGGGCUGCAGUAGGGAAUAUUGCGCAAUGGGGGAAACCCUGACGCAGCGACGCCGCGUGAGUGAUGAAGGACUUCGGUUCGUAAAGCUCUGUCGCAAGGGAAUAAUUUUGAAUGUACCUUGUAAGAAAGGAUCGGCUAACUUCGUGCCAGCAGCCGCGGUAAGACGAGGGAUCCUAGCGUUGUUCGGAAUCAUUGGGCGUAAAGCGGGUGUAGGCGGCUUUGUAAGUCAGGUGUGAAAGCCCUGGGCUCAACCCAGGAAGUGCAUUUGAUACUGCGAAGCUUGAGUGUGGGAGAGGCUAGUGGAAUUCCUGGUGUAGUGGUGAAAUACGUAGAUAUCAGGAGGAACAUCGGUGGCGAAGGCGGCUAGCUGGCCCAACACUGACGCUGAGAUCCGAAAGUGUGGGGAUCAAACAGGAUUAGAUACCCUAGUAGUC